GACGAACGCUGGCGGCGUGCUUAUCACAUGCAAGUCGAACGGAAAGGCCCUGCUUUUGUGGGGUGCUCGAGUGGCGAACGGGUGAGUAACACGUGAGUAACCUGCCCUUGACUUUGGGAUAACUUCAGGAAACUGGGGCUAAUACCGGAUAGGAGCUCCUGCUGCAUGGUGGGGGUUGGAAAGUUUCGGCGGUUGGGGAUGGACUCGCGGCUUAUCAGCUUGUUGGUGGGGUAGUGGCUUACCAAGGCUUUGACGGGUAGCCGGCCUGAGAGGGUGAUCGGCCACAUUGGGACUGAGAUACGGCCCAGACUCCUACGGGAGGCAGCAGUGGGGAAUAUUGCACAAUGGGCGGAAGCCUGAUGCAGCAACGCCGCGUGCGGGAUGACGGCCUUCGGGUUGUAAACCGCUUUCGCCUGUGACGAAGCGUGAGUGACGGUAAUGGGUAAAGAAGCACCGGCUAACUACGUG
rnacentral:rRNA from 1 species